GUUAUACUCCCUUUGUCCUAAAAUUCUUGUCUUAGAUUUAUCUAGAUACGGAUGUACCUAAUACUAAAACAUGACUUGAUACAUCCGUAUUUAGACAAAUCUAAGACAAGAAUUUUGGGACGAAGGGAGUAUUUA
rnacentral:pre_miRNA from 1 species